rnacentral:rRNA from 1 species
UGGGGAAUAUUGCGCAAUGGGCGCAAGCCUGAUGCAGCCAUGCCGCGUGUGUGAAGAAGGCCUUCGGGUUGUAAAGCACUUUCAGCGAGGAGGAAGGCGUUAAGGUUAAUAACCUUGGCGAUUGACGUUACUCGCAGAAGAAGCACCGGCUAACUCCGUGCCAGUAGCCGCGGUAAUACGGAGGGUGCAAGCGUUAAUCGGAAUUACUGGGCGUAAAGCGCACGCAGGCGGUUUGUUAAGUCAGAUGUGAAAUCCCCGAGCUUAACUUGGGAACUGCAUUUGAAACUGGCAAGCUAGAGUCUUGUAGAGGGGGGUAGAAUUCCAGGUGUAGCGGUGAAAUGCGUAGAGAUCUGGAGGAAUACCGGUGGCGAAGGCGGCCCCCUGGACAAAGACUGACGCUCAGGUGCGAAAGCGUGGGGCAGCAAACAGGAUUAGAUACCCUGGUAGUCCAGCGCUGUAAACGAUGUCGAUUUGGAGGUUGU